CAGGGCCUUCCAUUGCUCUUUUCUAGGUGGGCAGCCUAUAGGAAAGGGGAUUUACAACAGUGGAAAGGAGCAGUAAAAGUGCUGUGGUUAACGCGAAUCACAUGCCCCCAGAACAGCCUGUGUCCACAGGAUACCAUCACUGAGCUGGAAUACAACAUGGGGCAUCUGAAAAGAAGAACCAAAAUAGAUGCCUGGUCUUCAACUAAAUUACCUGUUCAUCUUUUUCCAGGAAACCUUGGAACACCAAGGAAUCAGCAGUCAAACGAGCUCAGUCUCUCAGAACACAUGUGGGGGAAUUGAGUAUUUCAACUUUUAGGUAGACAGUUUCUACAAGCUAAAUAGUGGAACGAAAGGAGCCAAAUAAAGAAGUUAUAAAACACGUGCAUAUUUAGCCCCUACUUUUUAUUAAACUAAGACUUU
rnacentral:lncRNA from 10 species